rnacentral:pre_miRNA from 1 species
AAGAAGCUGACUUCAGAUGGUGCCAUAGAGUGGUCCGUAACAUCUAGCACCAUUUGAAAUCAGUGUUCU